GACGAACGCUGGCGGCGUGCCUAAUACAUGCAAGUCGAACGAACUCUGGUAUUGAUUGGUGCUUGCAUCAUGAUUUACAUUUGAGUGAGUGGCGAACUGGUGAGUAACACGUGGGAAACCUGCCCAGAAGCGGGGGAUAACACCUGGAAACAGAUGCUAAUACCGCAUAACAACUUGGACCGCGCGGUCCGAGUUUGAAAGAUGGCUUCGGCUAUCACUUUUGGAUGGUCCCGCGGCGUAUUAGCUAGAUGGUGGGGUAACGGCUCACCAUGGCAAUGAUACGUAGCCGACCUGAGAGGGUAAUCGGCCACAUUGGGACUGAGACACGGCCCAAACUCCUACGGGAGGCAGCAGUAGGGAAUCUUCCACAAUGGACGAAAGUCUGAUGGAGCAACGCCGCGUGAGUGAAGAAGGGUUUCGGCUCGUAAAACUCUGUUGUUAAAGAAGAACAUAUCUGAGAGUAACUGUUCAGGUAUUGACGGUAUUUAACCAGAAAGCCACGGCCAACUACGUGCCAGCAGCCGCGGUAAUACGUAGGUGGCAAGCGUUGUCCGGAUUUAUUGGGCGUAAAGCGAGCGCAGGCGGUUUUUUAAGUCUGAUGUGAAAGCCUUCGGCUCAACCGAAGAAGUGCAUCGGAAACUGGGAAACUUGAGUGCAGAAGAGGACAGUGGAACUCCAUGUGUAGCGGUGAAAUGCGUAGAUAUGUGGAAGAACACCAGUGGCGAAGGCGGCUGUCUGGUCUGUAACUGACGCUGAGGCUCGAAAGUAUGGGUAGCAAACAGGAUUAGAUACCCUGGUAGUCCAUACCGUAAACGAUGAAUGCUAAGCGUUGGAGGGUUUCCGCCCUUCAGUGCUGCAGCUAACGCAUUAAGCAUUCCGCCUGGGGAGUACGGCCGCAAGGCUGAAACUCAAAGGAAUUGACGGGGGCCCGCACAAGCGGUGGAGCAUGUGGUUUAAUUCGAAGCUACGCGAAGAACCUUACCAGGUCUUGACAUACUAUGCAAAUCUAAGAGAUUAGACAUUCCCUUCGGGGACAUGGAUACAGGUGGUGCAUGGUUGUCGUCAGCUCGUGUCGUGAGAUGUUGGGUUAAGUCCCGCAACGAGCGCAACCCUUAUUAUCAGUUGCCAGCAUUAAGUUGGGCACUCUGGUGAGACUGCCGGUGACAAACCGGAGGAAGGUGGGGAUGACGUCAAAUCAUCAUGCCCCUUAUGACCUGGGCUACACACGUGCUACAAUGGAUGGUACAACGAGUUGCGAACUCGCGAGAGUAAGCUAAUCUCUUAAAGCCAUUCUCAGUUCGGAUUGUAGGCUGCAACUCGCCUACAUGAAGUCGGAAUCGCUAGUAAUCGCGGAUCAGCAUGCCGCGGUGAAUACGUUCCCGGGCCUUGUACACACCGCCCGUCACACCAUGAGAGUUUGUAACACCCAAAGUCGGUGGGGUAACCUUUUAGGAACCAGCCGCCUAAGGUGGGACAGAUGAUUAGGGUGAAGUCAUAACAAGGUAGCCGUAGGAGAACC
rnacentral:rRNA from 1 species